rnacentral:tRNA from 1 species
UGGAUCGGCCGGGAAUUGAACCCGGGCCGCCCGCGUGGUAGGCGAGCCUUCUACCACUGAACCACCGAU